rnacentral:rRNA from 1 species
ACUCAAAGGAAUAGACGGGGACCCGCACAAGCAGUGGAGUAUGUGGUUUAAUUCGAAGCAACGCGAAGAACCUUACCAAGGCUUGACAUCACAGGGAAAGGUGUGGAAACACAUCCGUCUUCGGACUCUGUGACAGGUGGUGCAUGGUUGUCGUCAGCUCGUGUCGUGAGAUGUUGGGUUAAGUCCCGCAACGAGCGCAACCCUUGUUUUUAGUUGCCAGCGAGUAAGGUCGGGCACUCUAGAGAGACUGCCGGUGACAAAUCGGAGGAAGGUGGGGACGACGUCAAAUCAUCAUGCCCCUUAUGUCUUGGGCUACACACGUACUACAAUGGCUGUUACAGCAGGCAGCGAAGGAGCAAUCCGGAGCGAAUCCCAAAAGACAGUCCCAGUUCGGAUUGCGGGCUGCAACCCGCCCGCAUGAAGUCGGAAUUGCUAGUAAUUGCAGGUCAGCAUACUGCAGUGAAUACGUUCCCGGGUCUUGUACACACCGCCCGU